rnacentral:rRNA from 1 species
GUGCCAGCAGCCGCGGUAAUUCCAGCUCCAAUAGCGUAUAUUAAAGUUGUUGCAGUUAAAAAGCUCGUAGUUGGAUCUCGGGCGCAGGCGGGCGGUCCGGCUCGCGCCGGCUCGCCGCCCGUUCACCUGCCCCACCCCUGCCGGCUCCCUCCCGGUGGUGCUCUUCGCUGAGCGUCCCGGGUGGCCGGCGCGUUUACUUUGAAAAAAUUAGAGUGUUCAAGGCGGGCCCGCCGAGCCCGAAUAACUGCGCAUGGAAUAAUGGAAUAGGACCUCGGUUCUAUUUUGCUGGUUUUCGGAAUCCGAGGUAAUGAUUGACGGGGACAAACGGGGGCAUUCGUAUUGCGGCGUUAGAGGUGAAAUUCUUGGAUCGCCGCAAGACGGGCUACUGCGAAAGCAUUU